rnacentral:rRNA from 1 species
CCUACGGGUGGCAGCAGUGAGGAAUAUUGGUCAAUGGGCGCGAGACUGAACCAGCCAAGUAGCGUGAAUGAUGACUGCCCUACGGUUUUUAAACUUCUUUUAUAAAGGAAUAAAGUGAGGCACGUGUACCUUUUUGUAUGUACUUUAUGAAUAAGGAUCGGCUAACUCCGUGCCAGCAGCCGCGGUAAUACGGAGGAUCCGAGCGUUAUCCGGAUUUAUUGGGGUUAAAGGGAGAUUAGAGGGGUUGUUAAGUCAGUUGUGAAAGGUUGCGGCUCAAACGUAAAAUUGCAAUUGAAACUGGCAGCCUUGAGUACAGUUGAGGUAAGCGGAAUUCGUGGUGUAGCGGUGAAAUGCUUAGAUAUUACGAAGAACUCCGAUUGCGAAGGCAGCCUACUAAACAGCCACUGACAUUGAUGCUCGAAAGUGUGGGUAUCAAACAGGAUUAGAUACCCGAGUAGUC